UACGGAGGGUGCGAGCGUUGUCCGGAAUCAUUGGGCGUAAAGGGCGCGUAGGUGGCGGGAUAAGCGUGCGGUGAAAGCUUGGGGCUCAACCCCGAGUCUGCCGUGCGAACUGUUCUGCUUGAGCACUGUAGAGGCAGGCGGAAUUCCGGGUGUAGCGGUGGAAUGCGUAGAGAUCCGGAAGAACACCGGUGGCGAAGGCGGCCUGCUGGGCAGUUGCUGGACACUGAGGCGCGACAGCGUGGGGAGCAAACAGGG
rnacentral:rRNA from 1 species